CUCCGGGUGAUCCUGCCGGACCCGACUGCUAUCAGAGUGGGACUAAGCCAUGCGAGUCAACGUAGCAAUACGUGGCAUACGGCUCAGUAACACGUAGUCAACAUGCCCAGGGGACGAGGAUAACCUCGGGAAACUGAGGAUAAACCUCGAUAGGCCAGGAUUUCUGGAAUGAUUCUUGGCUCAAACCUAUAUGGCCCCUGGAUUGGACUGCGGCCGAUCAGGCUGUUGGUGAGGUAAUGGCCCACCAAACCUAUUACCGGUACGGGCUCUGAGAGGAGGAGCCCGGAGAUGGGCACUGAGACAAGGGCCCAGGCCCUAUGGGGCGCAGCAGGCGCGAAACCUCUGCAAUAGGCGAAAGCUUGACAGGGUUACUCUGAGUGAUUUCCGCUAAGGGAAUCUUUUGGCACCUCUAAAAAUGGUGCAGAAUAAGGGGUGGGCAAGUCUGGUGUCAGCCGCCGCGGUAAUACCAGCACCCCGAGUGGUCGGGACGAUUAUUGGGCCUAAAGCACCCGUAGCCGGUUCUACAAGUCUUCCGUUAAAUCCACCUGCUUAACAGAUGGGCUGCGGAAGAUACUAUAGAGCUAGGAGGCGGGAGAGGCAAGCGGUACUCGAUGGGUAGGGGUAAAAUCCGUUGAUCCAUUGAAGACCACCAGUGGCGAAGGCGGCUUGCCAGAACGCGCUCGACGGUGAGGGAUGAAAGCUGGGGGAGCAAACCGGAUUAGAUACCCGGGUAGUCCCAGCUGUAAACGAUGCAGACUCGGUGAUGAGUUGGCUUCUUGCCAACUCAGUGCCGCAGGGAAGCCGUUAAGUUUGCCGCCUGGGGAGUACGGUCGCAAGACUGAAACUUAAAGGAAUUGGCGGGGGAGCA
rnacentral:rRNA from 1 species